rnacentral:rRNA from 1 species
UACGUAGGGGGGCAAGCGUUGUCCGGAAUCAUUGGGCGUAAAGAGCGUGUAGGCGGCCCGAUAAGUCCGCUGUGAAAGUCCAGGGCUCAACCCUGGGAUGCCGGUGGAUACUGUCGGGCUCGAGUCCGGAAGGAGGAGUGUGGAAUUCCUGGUGUAGCGGUGAAAUGCGCAGAUAUCAGGAGGAACACCAAUGGCGAAGGCAGCACUCUGGGACGUGACUGACGCUGAGACGCGAAAGCGUGGGGAGCAAACAGG